rnacentral:lncRNA from 1 species
AGCAGUGCAGAUCGAUCCUCUCUUCUUCCUUCACCUUCCGACCUUACCCGUUGAUGGUGAAAUUAUAUAGGUUCGUGACAGCGGUGUAACCAAUACGACAUUUGUUUCAAGUUUGUUGCCCAAGACCUUUUCUCUUUCAAGUGUAUAAAAGAGACCGGUAAACAGUAUUUGUAACUCACUUGUUGAAUUUUUACUCGUUCCUGAUCUAUUCAUCAUCGAUUUCCGGUUGAAAAUACAUCAUUUAGGACCGAUUUCGUUUCUUUGUGAUCAUUAAACCCACUGUUAUAGUAGAUCUAUUUUUGUAUGGUGUUUAUCUAGAUCUGUAGUUUGUUGUCGUGAUUUCAUCCUUCUUGUAAAUUGCUCUUGUUAUUAGUGCUGGAAAUAGCUCUUAUUUUCGUAGUCUUACAUAUCACUAGGAUGACAACCCCUCCUAGCGCUAGUACUACUAACAAUUUUGCCAAUGCUGCUGGGUUUGAAGAAUUAUCUUUGGAUCCUUCUCAUCCCUAUUACAUACAUCCUUCUGAGAGUCCUAGUCAUCAGUUAGUACCUAUACCUUUUAAUAGCUCUGGUUUUGCUAUUUGGAGAAAUAGCAUGAUCACCUCUUUAUCUGCCAAAAACAAGUUAGGAAUGGUCAAUGGAAAACUUCCUCAACUUGAGUCUCAUAAUCCAUAUUUCCAGUUCUGGGAAAGGUGUGAUCAUAUGGUUAAAGCUUGGAUCAUAAAUUUGCUCUCAAGAGAUAUUGCUGUUAGUGUUAUGUGCCUUCCUACUGCUAGGGAUAUCUGGAAGGAUAUAAAUGAUAGGUAUGGUCAAUCUAAUGGGUCUAGGUAUAUCCAUGUCCAAAAGGAAAUAAAUUCAACUGUUCAAGGGUCUUCCAGCAUAGCUGCUUAUUUCACUAAGAUGAGGUCACUCUGGGAUGAACUGAAUUCAUCUUAUGUUGGUCCUGAGUGCACAUGUGGUGCACUAUCCAAGUUCAUCCAUGAUCAACAAUUAUUCCAAUUCCUUAGUGGCUUGAAUGAAGGGUAUUCCACUAUCAAGAGCAAUACUCUGAUGAUGACACCUCUACCUUCUAUCAAUAAAGUUUAUGCUCUCCUUCAACAGGAUGAAAGCCAAAAAAAAUCUCAGUCUGGACCACCUCACUUCUCUAGUAACCCAGUCUCAUUUAAUGCUUCUGCUCUUGUCUAUAAUUCUAGUAAUAGACCUUUUCAUCAAAAGGUAAAUUUUAGUACUAUUAAAUAGUCUCAUGGGUCACAGAUAUGCAAAUAUUGCAAGAAGCCUGGUCAUACUAUUGACACCUGUUAUAGGAUUCAUGGAUUUCCUCUUAAUUUCAAGUUCACCAAGAGCAAGAAAUCAUCUACUUCCUGUGUUCAGCUAUCAGAUCCUGAUAUCAAGUCCUCCCCUUCUAUUUCACAUUCAAACUCUUACAAAGAGGACUCUUCUCAUGGUUUCAGCAAGAAACAAUAUAAUCACCUCAUGACUCUUUUCCAACAAGCUCAGAUUUCUCCCAUGCAUCCUUCUCAGCUUGAUCAUGCAAAGAGUUCUGGGUUUGCUCACUUUGCAGGUUUGUGCAACAGCUCAGUUUUUACUUCUACUGGCUACAGUGUGUGUGCUUCUUCCCAAUUACUCCCGGUAUUGGACUCAGGUUCCUUUAAUCAUAUGACUCCACAUAAACACCUCCUUCGCAACUUACAAUCUUUAGCUCAUCCUUUUCUUAUUACCUUACCUAAUGGUAUAAAGUCAAGGUAGUGUCUACUGGUUCCUUGCUCUUAAGGGAUGACAUUACUUUAGACAAUGUUCUGUUGGUUCCUCUUUCCAUUUUAACCUACUUUCUAUAUAUCAACUACUUAAAUAUCUCUCAUGUUUAGCUGUAUUUUCUGUCACUUCUUGUCAUUUACAGGGCCCUUUUCUGAAGAGGCCACUGGAAAUUGGUAAGGCUGUAAAUGGAUUAUACUACUAUCAUGCUGAUCUAACUGUUUCUCUAGUUCCUGCGCAUCAGUCUACUGUUUCUCAUUUUUCUGUUUCUAGUAGUACACAUCUUUCAAAUUCUGUUAAUGUAUCUCAUGAUGUACCAUAUGUGACUCCAUCUUAUUGUAAUUCUUCACAUGUUUCUAAUAAAAUGGAUGUAUUUUGGCACCAAAGACUUGGUCACAUGCCUUACCAUAAAAUAAAAUCCAUUCCCUUUCUUCAAUCUCAACUUUCUUCAUGUCAAACCUUUGCAUGUGAUGUAUGUCCUCUAGCUAAACAACAACGACUUCCUUUUCCCUACAAUAAAAUGGAUGUAUUUUGGCAUCAGAGACUUGGUCACAUGCCUUAUCAUAAAAUGAAAUCCAUUCCUUUUCUUCACUCUCAGCUUUCUCUAAGUCAAACUUUUACAUGUAAUGUCUGUCCCCUAACUAGAAAACAAAGACUUCUUUUUCUCCACAGCACUAUUCAUUCCACUCUUCCCUUCCAAUUAGUUCACAUUGACAUUUGGGGACCAUACCACACUAAAAUAUACUCUGGUUACAGAUAUUUCCUCACUCUUAUUGAUGAUUUCACCAGAGUCACAUGGACUCACCUUCUUACUUAUAAAAGCAAUGCUCUUUCCAUUCUAAAAGCAUUUGUUUGUAUGGUUAAAGCAUAUUUCAAAGCAUUUGUCCAGACAUUCAGAUCUGAUAAUGCAUAUGAAUUGGGUAGUAGCCUUGAAGCUUCUUUAUUUUUUGCUGAAAAUAGUAUUCUUCACCAAAUAACCAUUCCCCACACACCUCAAUAAAAUGGUGUUGUGGAAAGAAAAUAUAAAUAUUUUUUAGAAACUUCAAAAGCUUUGCUUUUCCAAUCAAAACUCCCUACUAUGUAUUAGGGUGAUUGUGUCCUCACUGCCACUUACUUAAUCAAUAGGCUACCCUCUUCUGUUUUACACAAUCUAUACCUUUAAGUUUCAUGGUUCUUCUCCCUCUUUUGAUCAUCUAAGUUCUUUUGGCUGCCUCUACUAUGCCACUACCCCUCCUGUUGGGAGAGAGAAAUUUCUCUCUAGAGCCAUCCCUUGUGUUUUUAUUGUCUAUCCUUGUGGAAAAAAGGCGUAUAAGUUGCUGCAGCUUUCAAACAAGUCCAUUUUCUAUUCUAGAGAUGUCUGUUUCCAUGAACACAUCUUCCCCUAUUUAUCUCACCAUCCUCCCUUACCUUCUCCCCCCUUCUCUAGACUUCCCCCUCCUUCUUUUUUUUUCCAGUUCUUUUUUCUUCUUCUCCUCUUAUCCCAGCUCCCAUCUCCUCUCCUUCUCCUUCACCCUUUAUUCCUUACGUUCCAUCAACUUCUCCUAUCCCUUUAAGAAGGUCUACGAGACCCAUCAUCACCCCUACCUACCUAUCAGACUAUGUCUGUCAUUCAGCAUCCACUAGCGUUCCUCUUGAACCUCCUUCUACUGAGCUGCAGUCGUAUCACCAAGUUGUUUCUCACCCUUCUUGGUAGGAUGCUAUGCUUAAGGAAUUUUAGGCUCUUGAAUCCAACAACACUUGAGAUCUGGUACCUUUUUCCUAACAAGAAGCCCAUUUCUUCAAAUUGGGUGUACAAAAUUAAGCAUAAAGCUAAUGGGUCUGUUAAGAGGUAUACGGCUCGUUUGGUCAUUCGUGGGGAUACUCAAAAAGAAGGAAUUGAUUAUAAUGAAACUUUCUCUCCAGUAGUAAAGUUCACUACUAUCAAAGUCCUUUUAUCUAUUGCUAUUAAACGAAACUGGACUGUUUAUUAAUUGGAUGUUAACAAUGCUUUCCUCCAUGGGGACUUACUUGAGGAGGUUUAUAUGAAGCCCCCACUUGGGCUGGAAGUUUCUUACUCCAUUCCCCCUAUAUCUCCCUUGAUUUGAAAACUUAAAAAGUCUCUUUAUGGGUUGAAACAACCUUUACGACAGUGGUUUUCUAAACUUUCUGAAGCUUUGUUUCUCCGGGGCUAUUCUUCUAGCAAGAAUGAUUAUUCUCUCUUUACCAAAUCUGUUGGUGCUUCUUAUACUGUACUAGCUGUGUAUGUUGAUGAUAUAUUGCUGGCUGGGGAUGAUAUUCAUGAAUUAGAUACUUUGAAACAUUUUUUUGACUCCCAAUUCAACAUCAAGGACCUUGGGUCUGUUCAUUAUUUUCUGGGUUUAGAGGUCACUCCUCAUCCCCUGGGUUAUUUGAUGUCUCAACAGAAGUUUACUUCAGAACUUUUAUCUGAGUUUCACUGUGCCAACUUUACUCCUUUUAGUGCUCCUCUUGAUCACUCAAUUAAACUCAUAACUGAUAUAGGUGCCCCUCCUACUGAUCCUUUUGUUUAUCGUCGGCUUGUUGGGAAAUUAAAUUUUUUACAAUAUACAAGACCUGAUAUCGCAUACUCAGUUCAACAUUUGAGCCAAUUUCUCAGGCUCCCCAGGUGUCUCACCUUCUUGCAGGUCUUCAUGUCCUCAGAUACCUAUUGAAUGCACCUGAUCAAGGUUUAUUAUUGUCUAAUUCUGCUGACUUGACUCUACUGGCAUUCUCUGACUCUGAUUGGGCUUUUUGUGAUCAUUCACGCCGGUCUGUGACUGGUUAUUUUAUCACACUUGGUGGUUCUCCUAUCUCAUGGAAGAGUAAGGAACAACCUACUGUUUCCCUGUUUUCAGCUGAAGCUGAAUACCACGCUCUUCGUAAAGUGGUUGCUGAAGUUUCCUGGUUAGUUCGUCUACUUUUUUAUUUUGGUUGUCAUGUCACUGAUCUUAUUUCUGUUUAUUGUGAUGGGCAGCUUUGCAUAUUGCAUGCAAUCCAGUCUACCAUGAGCGCAUGAAGCAUAUCGAGAUCGAUUGUCACUAUGUUCGUGAUUAUCUUUAUUCCGACCUGAUUUCUCUCUAUUUCAUCCCUUCAGCUGAUCAGCGAUCAGCUCGCUGAUAUUUUCACAAAGUCUCUAACCUGACCCUGCUCAUCUAUACAUUCUUGGCAAGCUUGGUGUGUUUGCACCCUCCAGCUUAAGGGGGGGUGUUGGAGCCAUUACAUAAUACACACAUUGUAUAUCUUUCAUAUACAGUUAGUUGUAUAAUUGUAUACAUAUUCAUCACUGUAAUUGUCUAGCUCAUUCAUAUUUUGUCUAACCCAUGUAAUAAUACUCAACCCGGUCCACUACAAGUGUGUAUAUAUAGAUAGAGUUAGUUGAGGUUGUAGAGAUUGGUAGAUAUUUUUCAUCCAAUAAAGAAAGACUCUUUCUCUUCUUCAUCUUACUGUUCUCGAACCUUCUAGGGUUCUUCAAUGUUCAUCAAUGGAGUUUAUCGUGUUUUCACUAUAACACAAGUAGAC